AUAAUUGCAGUAAGGAAAGAUCAUGACACUUGCAAUAGGAAAGAUUAGAAAGCUUGCAAUAGGAAGGAUCAGAACACUUGCCUUUCAAAGAUUUUGAUCCGAAGAUCCAAAGAAGGUGUCAGCCCAAAUCCUUCUACUUUUCCUCCGUGUCCUCUCUCUAUUUCGUUUUCUACAUAUGUCUUCUCUUUUUCCUCCACAACUGCAGCUCAUGCAGAACAUAGAGGCAUAGUCACCUGCUCUCUCUUACUCUCAUUCCUUCGUUUUCUUUUUCAAACACAACUGUCGCAGCCAUCGCCGCUGCCACUACCACAGUCGUAGC
rnacentral:lncRNA from 1 species